GUGCUUGCUUUGGCAGCAUAUAUACUAAAAUUGGAAUGAUACAGAGAAGAUUAGCAUGGCCCCUGUGCAAGGAUGACAUGCAAAUUCAUGAAGUGUUCCAUAUUUUU
rnacentral:snRNA from 1 species